AGACCCGAAACCCGGUGAUCUAGCCAUGGGCAGGUUGAAGGUUGGGUAACACUAACUGGAGGACCGAACCGACUAAUGUUGAAAAAUUAGCGGAUGACCUGUGGCUGGGGGUGAAAGGCCAAUCAAACCGGGAGAUAGCUGGUUCUCCCCGAAAGCUAUUUAGGUAGCGCCUCGUGAAUUCAUCUCCGGGGGUAGAGCACUGUUUCGGCUAGGGGGCCAUCCCGGCUUACCAACCCGAUGCAAACUGCGAAUACCGGAGAAUGUUAUCACGGGAGACACACGGCGGGUGCUAACGUCCGUCGUGAAGAGGGAAACAACCCAGACCGCCAGCUAAGGUCCCAAAGUCAUGGUUAAGUGGGAAACGAUGUGGGAAGGCCCAGACAGCCAGGAUGUUGGCUUAGAAGCAGCCAUCAUUUAAAGAAAGCGUAAUAGCUCACUGGUCGAGUCGGCCUGCGCGGAAGAUGUAACGGGGCUAAACCAUGCACCGAAGCUGCGGCAGCGACACUGUGUGUUGUUGGGUAGGGGAGCGUUCUGUAAGCCUGUGAAGGUGUGUCGUGAGGCAUGCUGGAGGUAUCAGAAGUGCGAAUGCUGACAUAAGUAACGAUAAAGCGGGUGAAAAGCCCGCUCGCCGGAAGACCAAGGGUUCCUGUCCAACGUUAAUCGGGGCAGGGUGAGUCGACCCCUAAGGCGAGGCCGAAAGGCGUAGUCGAUGGGAAACGGGUUAAUAUUCCCGUACUUGGUGUUACUGCGAAGGGGGGACGGAGAAGGCUAUGUUGGCCGGGCGACGGUUGUCCCGGUUUAAGCGUGUAGGUGUGUGUUCCAGGUAAAUCCGGUUCACUUUAACACUGAGGCGUGACGACGAGGCACUACGGUGCUGAAGCAACAAAUGCCCUGCUUCCAGGAAAAGCCUCUAAGCAUCAGGUAACAUCAAAUCGUACCCCAAACCGACACAGGUGGUCAGGUAGAGAAUACCAAGGCGCUUGAGAGAACUCGGGUGAAGGAACUAGGCAAAAUGGUGCCGUAACUUCGGGAGAAGGCACGCUGACACGUAGGUGAAGUGAUUUACUCAUGGAGCUGAAGUCAGUCGAAGAUACCAGCUGGCUGCAACUGUUUAUUAAAAACACAGCACUGUGCAAACACGAAAGUGGACGUAUACGGUGUGACGCCUGCCCGGUGCCGGAAGGUUAAUUGAUGGGGUCAGCGCAAGCGAAGCUCCUGAUCGAAGCCCCGGUAAACGGCGGCCGUAACUAUAACGGUCCUAAGGUAGCGAAAUUCCUUGUCGGGUAAGUUCCGACCUGCACGAAUGGCGUAAUGAUGGCCAGGCUGUCUCCACCCGAGACUCAGUGAAAUUGAACUCGCUGUGAAGAUGCAGUGUACCCGCGGCAAGACGGAAAGACCCCGUGAACCUUUACUAUAGCUUGACACUGAACAUUGAGCCUUGAUGUGUAGGAUAGGUGGGAGGCUUUGAAGUGUGGACGCCAGUCUGCAUGGAGCCGACCUUGAAAUACCACCCUUUAAUGUUUGAUGUUCUAACGUGGACCCGUUACCCGGGUUGCGGACAGUGUCUGGUGGGUAGUUUGACUGGGGCGGUCUCCUCCUAAAGAGUAACGGAGGAGCACGAAGGUUGGCUAAUCCUGGUCGGACAUCAGGAGGUUAGUGCAAUGGCAUAAGCCAGCUUGACUGCGAGCGUGACGGCGCGAGCAGGUGCGAAAGCAGGUCAUAGUGAUCCGGUGGUUCUGAAUGGAAGGGCCAUCGCUCAACGGAUAAAAGGUACUCCGGGGAUAACAGGCUGAUACCGCCCAAGAGUUCAUAUCGACGGCGGUGUUUGGCACCUCGAUGUCGGCUCAUCACAUCCUGGGGCUGAAGUAGGUCCCAAGGGUAUGGCUGUUCGCCAUUUAAAGUGGUACGCGAGCUGGGUUUAGAACGUCGUGAGACAGUUCGGUCCCUAUCUGCCGUGGGCGCUGGAGAACUGAGGGGGGCUGCUCCUAGUACGAGAGGACCGGAGUGGACGCAUCACUGGUGUUCGGGUUGUCAUGCCAAUGGCACUGCCCGGUAGCUAAAUGCGGAAGAGAUAAGUGCUGAAAGCAUCUAAGCACGAAACUUGCCCCGAGAUGAGUUCUCCCUGAGACUUAGAGUCUCCUGAAGGAACGUUGAAGACGACGACGUUGAUAGGCCG
rnacentral:rRNA from 1 species